CCUACGGGGGGCUGCAGUGGGGAAUAUUGCACAAUGGGCGCAAGCCUGAUGCAGCCAUGCCGCGUGUGUGAAGAAGGCCUUUGGGUUGUAAAGCACUUUCAGCGGGGAGGAAGGCGGUGAGGUUAAUAACCUCAUCGAUUGACGUUACCCGCAGAAGAAGCACCGGCUAACUCCGUGCCAGCAGCCGCGGUAAUACGGAGGGUGCAAGCGUUAAUCGGAAUUACUGGGCGUAAAGCGCACGCAGGCGGUCUGUCAAGUCGGAUGUGAAAUCCCCGGGCUCAACCUGGGAACUGCAUUCGAAACUGGCAGGCUAGAGUCUUGUAGAGGGGGGUAGAAUUCCAGGUGUAGCGGUGAAAUGCGUAGAGAUCUGGAGGAAUACCGGUGGCGAAGGCGGCCCCCUGGACAAAGACUGACGCUCAGGUGCGAAAGCGUGGGGAGCAAACAGGAGUAGAUACCCUAGUAGUC
rnacentral:rRNA from 1 species